rnacentral:lncRNA from 1 species
AUACGCCUGACUAACAUUUUCACGGGACCAAGGCUCCAUGCCCUAGCAGUAACCCAUGCUGUGGACCUGCUAACCCCCAGGCCUGAGGGGAUGUCCACUCAGAAAGGCACAGCCCUUGAAUGGAGCUUGCUGACCUUGGGCCCUGCUGCUGUCCUUUCACUCCCUGUGUGGAGUGUUGGGUAGAUGUGUUUUCAAUGGAAUGAAACUUGGCAUUUAAAUCGAGAGCUCUGUAUAUUUGAUUUGUAAAAACUGCGUGAGACAUAUCUUUAUUUUAGGAUCGAUAAUAAAAGCAAGUCUGUGUGUAAUAAA